rnacentral:rRNA from 1 species
UGGGGAAUCUUGGACAAUGGGGGCAACCCUGAUCCAGCCAUGCCGCGUGGGUGAAGAAGGCCUUAGGGUUGUAAAGCUCUUUCAGUCGUGACGAUGAUGACGGUAGCGACAGAAGAAGCCCCGGCUAACUCCGUGCCAGCAGCCGCGGUAAUACGGAGGGGGCAAGCGUUGUUCGGAAUUACUGGGCGUAAAGCGCGCGUAGGCGGCUUUUCAAGUCAGGGGUGAAAUCCCGGAGCUCAACUCCGGAACUGCCCUUGAAACUGGAUGGCUAGAAUACUGGAGAGGUGAGUGGAAUUCCGAGUGUAGAGGUGAAAUUCGUAGAUAUUCGGAAGAACACCAGUGGCGAAGGCGACUCACUGGACAGUUAUUGACGCUGAGGUGCGAAAGCGUGGGGAGCAAACAGGAUUAGAUACCCGCGUAGUCC